AGCAGCCGCGGUAAUUCCAGCUCCAAUAGCGUAUAUUAAAGUUGUUGCAGUUAAAAAGCUCGUAGUUGAAUUUCAGGGGUCAGUAGGUUGGUCGUGCCACUGGUAUGCACUGGUCUCACUGAUUCCUCCUUCCUGAUGAGCCGUAAUGCCAUUAAUUYGGUGUUGCGAGGAAUCUGGACUGUUACUUUGAAAAAAUUAGAGUGUUUAAAGCAAGCUAACGCUUGAAUACAUUAGCAUGGAAUAAUGAAAUAGGACGUUCGGUCUUAUUUUGUUGGUUUCUAAGAUUGACGUAAUGAUUAAUAGGGAUAGUUGGGGGCAUUAGUAUUCAAUUGUCAGAGGUGAAAUUCUUGGAUUUAUUGAAGACUAACUACUGCGAAAGCAUUUGCCAAGGAUGUUUUCAUUAAUCAAGAACGAAAGUUAGGGGAUCGAAGACGAUCAGAUACCGUCGUAGUCUUAACCAUAAACUAUGCCGACUAGGGAUCGGAUGAUGUUAAUUUUUUAAUGACUCA
rnacentral:rRNA from 1 species